UGGUAGCUAAUAUUUCAUCUUUGUUGGUCAUUAAUAUAAAAUGGACCAGGUUGUCAAUCUCUAGAUCAUUUUGUUAUUUCUAUGUAUUUUGGACUCUAUAGAGAACAAAUACAACUGUGUCCUAGAUACUGCACCCUGAAAGUGUGUCAAAGAAAGGCAUUUGAUCACUCUUAAUGCCUAUAUUUGGUUUAGGAUGUUAAUGGGCAAAGAAUAGCCAUGACAUGUAGGCUCUGCCACUCUUCUAUUGUUGGAAUUGCCAUCCGGUUGAGUCAUAGUGGUGCACAUCACUAGGAGAGAUAUUCCUACUUCCAUGAUAUCAGUGACGAAAAAAAAAAAUGAGAGCUUAAGUCGUUAGUUUAUGUGGUUUUAGCGAAUUAUGUGCUCAUCCCUGAUGUGAAACCUCAGACUGAUUAUCAGCUGGCAAUUUGCAACCAUUGUAGAUGAAUCAAUAGUGGAUUUUUUCAAAUGUGUAUGAACUCAAGAGGCUACCAUCUGUGAUAUAAACCUUUUUCCUUGCUUGAAGUUGUAUAUAUCACCAUCACCAGUUUUUACUGUCGCUGCCUGAAUUGCUAUAUGCACUUGCUCAUUUAUUUGUUCUAAAAGUAAUCCAAUUAGCU
rnacentral:lncRNA from 1 species